rnacentral:snRNA from 1 species
GCAUAUGAGGUGACCUGGCUACUGAUUGCCAGUGUUGAUUUGACUGGUCUGAUUGGCCAGGAGGCUGUCCCCUUUCGCCUUACCGCCCCAUGUGUAUCACUUUUGAGUGUGCAUGCUCAGUUGAGUAGAGAAGGACCAUUCUUGGGUUGAAAGUGCACAAGUAGCUAUGUUCCCCCACUAGAGCCUCCAAACAAGCUCUCCAGGUCCCAACCCCCUAUUCUUUUAUUGAGGGGGGGGGAGUUAGGCACACCAAUAGGAGCUCAGAGUUUCUCCUGGCUCUAUGCUCAAGGAUCACUUUUGGUAGGCUUAAGGGAUGACAUAGAUGCCAGGAAAU